UACAAGGUCGUCUAAUGGCAGGAUGGCACGCUUUGAACGUGCUCGAUGCUGGUUCGACCCCAGCCCUUGUAA
rnacentral:tRNA from 1 species